rnacentral:lncRNA from 1 species
GUCAAAUUUUCAACUUUGAACUAAAAUUCCUAAAAAAAAUAAAAAUACCGGUCAAAGUCUGUAAAUUGAUUCUUAAAGACAUUUAAAUGACAAAUAAUAUGAUACAAAGAAAAAAAUAAAUAUAUUACUAUAAAUGGGCAAAAAGUUGACCGGAAGUCACCCUUGUAUACAAAUUGAAGUGAAAUUUUCAACUUUGAACUAAAAUUCCCCAAAAAAUAAAAAUCCCGGUCAAAGUCUGUAAAUUGAUUCGUAAAGACAUUUUAAUGACAAAUAAUAUGAUAUAAAGAAAAAAAUAAGUAUAUUACUAUAAAAGGGCAAAAAGUUGACCGGACGUCACCCCUGUAUACAAAUAUUGAAGCGAAAUUUCAACUGGAAUUAAAAUUCACAAAAAUAUAAAAAGCCCG